rnacentral:rRNA from 1 species
UGGGGAAUAUUGGACAAUGGGGGGAACCCUGAUCCAGCAAUGCCGCGUGUGUGAAGAAGGCCUGAGGGUUGUAAAGCACUUUCAGUGGGGAGGAGAUAUGCCAGGUUAAGAGCUAGGUAUAAGGACGUUACCCACAGAAGAAGCACCGGCUAACUCCGUGCCAGCAGCCGCGGUAAUACGGAGGGUGCGAGCGUUAAUCGGAAUUACUGGGCGUAAAGGGUGCGUAGGUGGUUGAUUAAGUUAUCUGUGAAAUCCCUGGGCUUAACCUGGGCAGGUCAGAUGAUACUGAUUGACUCGAGUACGGGAGAGGGUAGUGGAAUUUCCGGUGUAGCGGUGAAAUGCGUAGAGAUCGGAAGGAACACCAGUGGCGAAGGCGGCUACCUGGCCUGAUACUGACACUGAGGCACGAAAGCGUGGGGAGCAAACAGGAUUAGAUACCCCCGUAGUCC